AGUGAACGCUGGCGGUAGGCCUAACACAUGCAAGUCGAACGGCAGCACAGUAAGAGCUUGCUCUUACGGGUGGCGAGUGGCGGACGGGUGAGGAAUACAUCGGAAUCUACUUUUUCGUGGGGGAUAACGUAGGGAAACUUACGCUAAUACCGCAUACGACCUACGGGUGAAAGCAGGGGAUCUUCGGACCUUGCGCGAUUGAAUGAGCCGAUGUCGGAUUAGCUAGUUGGCGGGGUAAAGGCCCACCAAGGCGACGAUCCGUAGCUGGUCUGAGAGGAUGAUCAGCCAAACUGGAACUGAGACACGGUCCAGACUACUACGGGAGGCAGCAGUGGGGAAUAUUGGACAAUGGGCGCAAGCCUGAUCCAGCCAUACCGCGUGGGUGAAGAAGGCCUUCGGGUUGUAAAGACCUUUUGUUGGGAAAGAAAAGCAGCAGGUUAAUACCCCGCUGUUCUGACGGUACCCAAAGAAUAAGCACCGGCUAACUUCGUGC
rnacentral:rRNA from 1 species